AAUCCAUAGGUUAAUGAGGCGAACCGGGGGAACUGAAACAUCUAAGUACCCCGAGGAAAAGAAAUCAACCGAGAUUCCCCCAGUAGCGGCGAGCGAACGGGGAGGAGCCCAGAGCCUGAAUCAGCAUGUGUGUUAGUGGAAGCGUCUGGAAAGGCGCGCGAUACAGGGUGACAGCCCCGUACACAAAAGCGCAUGUGCUGUGAGCUCGAUGAGUAGGGCGGGACACGUGGUAUCCUGUCUGAAUAUGGGGGGACCAUCCUCCAAGGCUAAAUACUCCUGACUGACCGAUAGUGAACCAGUACCGUGAGGGAAAGGCGAAAAGAACCCCGGCGAGGGGAGUGAAAAAGAACCUGAAACCGUGUACGUACAAGCAGUGGGAGCACCCUUUGGGGUGUG
rnacentral:rRNA from 1 species